CGCAGAGACAUUUCUACAGCUCUGUAAUUAAUUUUAAUUGUGGCUACGAGUUGACUUCUAUCAGAGUUUCAAGUGAGAUGCUGCCUCUAUGUCCCACAAGGAGGAACGCAACUGUGGGUGCACAGAGAGGCAAAAAGUGAAGGUUCGGUGAGCUGCGCUCAUCUAAUGCUUUGUUUGAAAUGUUCUGAGCACAGAGCUCCUCCAGAGCAUGUCCUGCUGCACCCGGGGGCUGGAUCUGGGACCUCUGCCCUUCAAUACAGAGCCCAGUGUUUUAUAUCCCCAUCUACACGAAAAGAAGUGGAAAAGGGAAUUAACGCUCUGGUCCCUCAAAUGUUUUCUCCUUUACCAUGAUGUCUGGGAGAGAGAGACGUGAGGGCCUCGCAGAUGUUCACAGUUACUCACCGGUCACUUUGCUGGGGUUGGUUUGUGUUCCCACUCCUUUCAGCGCUGUGGAGCCUUAAAACAUGCCAAGGAGUUUCUCAAGCUCAUUAACAUGAGAGCAAGUCGUAGUGGACAGAGGAGAGACUUUAGAAGGUCUGUUGUGCUGGUCUCUAAAAAACCCGGAGAAAGAAAAGAGCAGCCUGAGACCCACCUCUCCUGGUUCCCAUUGCUAUGGAGAUGUGUGUGAUGAACUUGAAGUACAAACAAGGAUAUUCACCCAUUUUAAGUGCAGUUUAGCCCAGCUGACUUCUCCAGCUUCCUUCUGUAGUCACUGGGGAAGGAAACGCUCCUCUGUGGAAUUUAAUUUUGGUGCUUGGAGUUGCAGCCUGGAUGGGUCAAUCUUUUUCCACGGACUUCAGAAGCAGCCUGGAAAUACGAGGCCAAACAAGGUGCCUAUUGCUGAGUAAAUGGAGGGGGAGAUGAACAUCCUUCUCCAGAACUGAAUGCAGUUAUCCAGGCUUAUGGUCAGUCUCCACGCUGUGCUUCACCUCUGAGAUAAGACAGCGUAAGGCUUUGGCUCAAGUGUGCCUCUUCAGGAGGUGGAGAGCUGGGCGUUUCUGUUUUUUUCAGACAAUUUUAUGCUCUGCCUUCAUUACUCAUGAGACUCUGACAACAUACUGUUUCUGCAGUGAUCGACAGACUGGUUUGGAUGGCAGCUCUUCACGCCCUGUGCUCACCGCAGAUGUGGUUCUUCACAUCAAGGAGCUUGCACUGAGUCACUGCAUUGCACUGAGCAGAGCUGAUCAGACGUGAAUGGGGCAGAGGGGACUGACCCCUGCCCUGCUCCCCUGAAUCAGACCACAGCACAUCCACAUGCCUUCAGGAGUUGGUGUCAGCCUGGAAGAUGCCCCACAACCUGUCCUUGGCUUUCUAAAGCACCAGCACGAUGCUGGAAAAGUGGUGAAGGGGAAGGGCCAAGAACUAGUGAUAAUGAAGUACAUCCCAGUAAAUCUAUGCUGACUUUAUGGGGCUGCACGGCAUGCCCUGGAUGAUGAGGUUCCUGCCUUGCUGGCUCGGCAUUUCCAUGGGGCUUCUGGACUCCAAGGGGCCACUGGUGCAUGCUGCCCUCUGAGAGGCAGGUUGGAUUCAAGAACAUGUUCUUAUCCCUCAAACUUUUGCUAAGUUUCAGAAGAAGAACUCCUUACAAGUUCAGAUAUGUAAGCAUUGGGUGUCUUUAUCUGUUCUGUCUUUCACAAAGAAUGAGAACUACGAAUGUAGUUAUGCUAUACUUGAAGGGAGAGUAUAAACAGGAGGGGGAACAGCUGUUUACGAGGGUGGACAGUGACAGGACAAGAGGGAAUGGUUUUAAACUGAAACAGGGGAGGUUUAGCUUGGAUAUGAGGAGGAAGUUCUUCACCCAGAGGGUGGUGACGCACUGGAACAGGUUGCCCAAGGAGGUUGUGGAUGCCCCAUCCCUGGAGGCAUUCAGGGCCAGGCUGGAUGUAGCUCUGGGCAGCCUGGUCUGGUGGUUGGCGACCCUGCACAUAGCAGGGGGGUUGAAACUGGAUGAUCAUUGUGGUCCUUUUCAACCCAGUCCAUGCUAUGAUGAUUCUAUGAUGAUGAUACGGGGCUGAGCCUCAAAAGGCCUGUUCCCAUGCUGUUUGCAGCCUAAUUUGGUAGCACCAAGGAAGGUGUUUAUAAAUGUCUUCUUUUCUACAGAAGCCCUUUCAAACCUAAUUGAAGGCAUUUGACCUUUUGGGAUUCACGUUGAUUCUGUCAAAGAGAAACAUAAGGAGGACUCCAUUCCCACCAAAUGUUUAAAUGUUGCAAAGCCAUGGGUAUGGUCAUUUGUCAUUGGAUAUUCCCUGGUUCUUUGCAGUGCUAAACCAAACUGACACCUGUAAUUUUUACCAACUUUCAACCUGGGCAGCAAUUGCCUAAAUGCCUCCAUCCUCCAGUAAAUUAAGUGGUCCACCAUACUUUUGAACUACUGUGUUGUUCCCCAUUCAACGUUGGGUGUAUUCAGUUCUGCUGGUAUUGAGAUUUCUGGUCAUAAGCGAAGUAGAGUUUGACUCUUAAUUUUGGUGAAGUGGGAUGCUAGGUCAUGAAUAAAUCCGCACUAUGCUAGGGGCUGUGCAAAGAAUAGAGAUGAACCCAGCCUCAAAUAUCCACGCUUAGUAGCCCGUGUCAUAAUUAAAAGUUGUUAGGACACUUCAGAAUCUCCCUACCUUGUAAGUGAUGCAUCCAUAUACAUUUAUAUCUCCAUAAUAAAAUAGAAAACCUGUACACUUUUAUUGUUGAUAAUAAAACAUAAAAUACGAUACUAUUCUCCAAGUAACAUGAAUGCAGCAAUCGGAGUACCUGGGGAGGGGAGGAAUCUUGAUCUCUUGCACACUUUUGGUUUACAUGUACCUCAAGUUGCUCGCUUUAUAGAAAGAAGCAGAAUUUGUUGUGGAAACUGUCUCACACGGAGCACACUGAAUUCAGGUGGAGAGCACAGAGCGGGAGCUCCUGCCCUUCUAAUAAUCAAAUACUGUGCAUUCAUGAAUAAAGCUCUAACAGUAACGAUAAGAGAAGAAAAUACAGCAACCACGUGAUGUAUUAGCAGAAUGUCUUACAAAGUCCCCCACAAAGCAUCCGCUGCUCUUGAAAAGCCCAACCAGCCCAAGUGAGAAACUAUUCACAAGUUUAGUAUUCAGAUUACAUACUCCGUCUUUUCAACUGCUCUCUGUACAAUGAAUGCCUGUACAACUACAGUAACAGACACAGAUCUACAGUUUCUGUGGCCUUUGAGCUAUUAUGAGCAUUGUGCCUCUCCAUAAAUUACAUCUGCAUGUCCUGAAAAUACCAACUGUUUUAAUAGGAAUUAAUCUAUAGGCUUUUAUCUUCCUGAAAUACAAGGGGUGCAGUAUGUUGAGUCGCUUUUAAAAUUAAUAGGGUAUGGCCUGAAAAUAUUCAAGGAUGUUCAUUAUUUUCUUUAUAGGUCUCUUUAUUGGUGCAUAUAAGCAUAAAACAGUGCCUUUUUGUAGUAGAGAGGAGGAGAUGGAAUACUGAAUAGAUUAGUGCUUAUAUGGUUGUAGAUUGCCCGACACAGUUAAGUAAAGAAAGGUCUACAUUUGUCCUGUUCAAAGUAUAUUGGGAUUCGAUCCAAUUUGUCAUCAAAGUACCCCUUCUUGGUUAGAAAAGAGAGGGUUCAGUCUAAAGGCAUGAAAGCUGACCCGGAGGUCCAUUGCUCAGUGGUGUUCAUAGCUGUCCAAGGUAGCAGUGUAGUAGAUAUGCCUUUUUUUAACUUCCUAAACCUAAAAAAACCUGGAGCUUUUGCAGCAAUAAGCUAUUAUUUAUGUGGAUACCUAACACAGGUCUUGGGGGAGCUAACUCCUAGAACACUUUGACCUUAUAAAAGCACACAAAAUAGUAUCAACCAGAUCAUUUAAACCAGAAUUGAUAUAAAAAGCCUUUUUGGCUGUUUUGAAUAUUAACAUGUGUGAAGGCAUACGCACACAAGUUAAAUGCAUAUAUAGUUAAAUACUACACUGAAACAGGCUGAGCCCAUCACUGACCUAUCGAAACAUGUUACUGAUGAGCAAUAAGGCAUUAAUUUCUCCUCCCGGCCUCCCUGUUAAAUGGGGCAGCUCUGUUGCAUCCAACAGAACAAAGGAGAACUGAGGCCUGUGGUUACCCUGGGGACACGACAAGUCUCAGGACUGGGUGGCUGUCCCCUGGGCAGCUGGGCUGUUGUGGCAGAGCACUGUCUAGAGCAGGCAUGGCUGUGUGAGGACUGCUUAGGUCUCAUGGAUGGAAACAGAGGGGAAAGGAGCUCCAGAAAUGGCUCUCCAUAAGAUUUGCCCCAAGCAGCUUCUGUAGUGUGGCAGAAGUCUGCGGCAAAGCUGAGAAGUGCUUUCAGGCUAUUGCUCAGAUGAAAAAAUAAAACCCUCGUUGCAUUAUUUGCUGCAAUUUAAAAACAGAUCUGAAACGUAGAGGAAUGAUGACUUGGUUGAAAUCACACAGAGGACCUCUGUCCACGGCUGGAUGUGAACACUGGUGUCCUGAUCCCUAAACCACCACUUGAGCCUCAAGGUCGCCACAGCUGCUCCAGAGAGUGUAACCUGGGGGCAGUUGCGUGGUUGAUGGAAAUCACGGGAGCUCUCUCUGCAGCCCCUGAGCUGUGGCAGAGCUGAAUUUUGCAAUGAAACCAGUGAUUCACCCUAUGCCCAUGCUGCUGUGGUGAAGAUGCUCUCAUCUCUGCAGUCUUCGCACUUAACAGAUUAAUUUUUAAGGGUGAACCCUUUCAGGUUAGUGCCUGUCCCCUGCUUUUCCCUUGGUCACUCUUGCCUGUUUUCACAGCUUCAUUUGGUUUUGAAAGCUUAUGGAGCAGCGGGAUUAAAACCAGAAAUAAUUACUGUAGAGGACGGGUCUGGCGUUUCCCAUCAGCUUCCAUGACUCAAGCUGGUUCCAACAGCUUUGGGAGAAAAGCUGUUAGUUAUUAAAUUAUUACCUGUAAGGAGAGCCAGCUGGAAGCUUUCAGCUUUCAACAUUUUGAUGAAAAGCAUCAUAAAAAAUCUUGACGACAAAACUUCCAGCAUUUCAACGACACCUUUUACAUUUACCCAUGCUUUCCAAUGCCUUGUAAGAGCUAUCGAGAGCCGCCCAGACCUGCCAUCUUGGGAAUUUUGACCCCACGGUGGAAAAAAAAAAAGGAAAAAAAAAAAAGUGCAAAAAACAUAAAGUGUUUGCUGUUCAGCGAAUUCAUUUGGACAGCUUUUGGGAAGUCACUUUCCAUCUGGAGGAGAGCGUCCACAAGGAGGGUUAUUCCGGCAUAACGGUAACGGUGUAAUUACACAGCUAUAGCUAUGCCAGCCUAUUUUCUGAGGUAGGCAAGCCAAGUCUAGUUGCUGAAACGUAGGCGUGGGAAACAAGAAGUCUGCUUUCUAGGCUCGGCUCUGAGCACUGCUCUUCAUGGCCUUGGGCCAGUCCCCUAACCCUCCUGCCUCCUUCCUAUGCAAAAUGAGAAGAGUUAAACUAACCGGCUUCUCAGAUGUGGUGUAAUGACUAAUUGGCUAAAAUUUGUAGUGCUGGUGAGGGAGUUAUUGGCUUGGCUCAGGCACCUACAGCCUGACACAAAGAGCACGGGUACGCACGGUGGAGGAACUCCACUCAGCACAUCCCAGAGCUCUCUGGCAACCAGUGUGGGUAAAGGACGACUCCAUCAGCCCUCCUCCUGGGUGACACGUUUGUGUGCCUACCUCUGUCAGCUCAGACUGCUUCAUUACCUGCGCCGGCGUUUCCUCACGCAGGUGCCCAGCGCUGACAGCACCACUGGUCUUUGUGGCAAGAAACGCUUCCUGACACCCAACCCGUUCCUCCCCCGGCACAGCUGAGGCCAUCUGUGGUGCCGUGGCAGUGCCUGGGGGCGGCGGGCCGUCAGCCGGCGCUCGUCGUCCAAAGGGAAACACCGCCGUUCUGCCCCUCUCUCCACCACAGCGUGCGCGGGAGGUGGGGAAAGCGCUGCGGAGGGGCUUUCGUUUUAAACCGGGUUUUCCCUCCGAGCGCAAAGCCUGAAGGAAAAAAAAAACAAAAACAACAACAACAACAACAAAAAAAGAACCAACCAAAAAGCAGAAAUUACCUCACGUUCGCUCCGAACGCCCAACGAGGCACCGGCGCGGCGCUGGGAGCCCUUCAUCCCCGCGACACCGAACCGGGCACGGGCCGGUUAAAAACAGAAGCGCUGAAUCACGACCGAGCGCCCGACUUCGCCCUCCGCCGCGGGCCGAGCGCUGCGGGGCAGCCCGGUG
rnacentral:lncRNA from 1 species